UGAACGCUAGCUACAGGCUUAACACAUGCAAGUCAGGGCAGCAUGGUCUAGCUUGCUAAGGCCGAUGGCGACCGGCGCACGGGUGAGUAACACGUAUCCAACCUGCCGUCUACNCUUGGACAGCCUUCUGAAAGGAAGAUUAAUACAAGAUGGCAUCAUGAGUCCGCAUGUUCACAUGAUUAAAGGUAUUCCGGUAGACGAUGGGGAUGCGUUCCAUUAGAUAGUAGGCGGGGUAACGGCCCACCUAGUCUUCGAUGGAUAGGGGUUCUGAGAGGAAGGUCCCCCACAUUGGAACUGAGACACGGUCCAAACUCCUACGGGAGGCAGCAGUGAGGAAUAUUGGUCAAUGGACGAGAGUCUGAACCAGCCAAGUAGCGUGAAGGAUGAAGGUCCUACGGAUUGUAAACUUCUUUUAUAAGGGAAUAAAACCUCCCACGUGUGGGAGCUUGUAUGUACCUUAUGAAUAAGCAUCGGCUAACUCCGUG
rnacentral:rRNA from 1 species